rnacentral:rRNA from 1 species
GACGAACGCUGGCGGCGUGCUUAACACAUGCAAGUCGAACGGAAAGCACCUUCUGUGGUGGGGUGCUCGGGAGGCGAUCGGGUGGGUAACUCGUGAGUAACCUGCCCUCGGCUUUCGGAUAACUUCAGGAAACUUGGGCUAAUACCGGAUAGGAGCUCCUGCUGCAUGGUGGGGGUUGGAAAGUUUCGGCGGUUGGGGAUGGACUCGCGGCUCAUCAGAUUGUUCGUGGGGUAGUGGCUUAGCAAGGCCUGGACGGGUAGCCGGCCUGAGCGGGUGACCGGCCACACUGGGACUGAGAUGAGGCACAGACUCCUCCGGGAGGCAGGAGUGGGGAAUAGAGUACAAUGGGAGGAGGGCUGGUGCGGCAACGCAGCGUGGGGGAUGAGGGGCAUGGGGUUGGAACGCGAUGUCGCUUGUGACGAAGCGUGAGUGACGGUAAUGGGAAAAGAAGCACCGGCUAACUACGUG